rnacentral:rRNA from 1 species
UACUCUAGGGAGGCAGCAGUGGGGAAUAUUGCACAAUGGGCGAAAGCCUGAUGCAGCGACGCCGCGUGAGGGAUGACGGCCUUCGGGUUGUAAACCUCUUUCAGUAGGGAAGAAGCCCUCUUUGGGGGUGACGGUACUUGCAGAAGAAGCGCCGGCUAACUACGUGCCAGCAGCCGCGGUAAUACGUAGGGCGCAAGCGUUAUCCGGAAUUAUUGGGCGUAAAGAGCUCGUAGGCGGUUUGUCGCGUCUGCUGUGAAAGACCGGGGCUCAACUCCGGUUCUGCAGUGGGUACGGGCAGACUAGAGUGCAGUAGGGGAGACUGGAAUUCCUGGUGUAGCGGUGAAAUGCGCAGAUAUCAGGAGGAACACCGAUGGCGAAGGCAGGUCUCUGGGCUGUAACUGACGCUGAGGAGCGAAAGCAUGGGGAGCGAACAGGAUUAGAUACCCUGGUAGUCCAUGCCGUAAACGUUGGGCACUAGGUGUGGGGGACAUUCCACGUUUUCCGCGCCGUAGCUAACGCAUUAAGUGCCCCGCCUGGGGAGUACGGCCGCAAGGCUAAAACUCAAAGGAAUUGACGGGGGCCCGCACAAGCGGCGGAGCAUGCGGAUUAAUUCGAUGCAACGCGAAGAACCUUACCAAGGCUUGACAUGGACCGGAAAGACCCUGAAACCAGGUGC